AUUGCUAAAGUUAAAUGUUGUUUAAAAUAUAAUAAACACUAAAUGUAUGACGUAACUGAAGUCCCUAUAGGCCUACUUUGAAAUAUGUAUAUGUAACUUGGCUAUAAAUAACUCUCGUUCAGGCCGUUGUAAAUAUUGCGUCACUCAUGAGAACCGGUACCGGCCUAAAAUUUCCUGCUGGGACAUAUUAAAAUCAUGUGGUUCUACUCAGCUUUUCCACUGAAAUUCGUGGUAAUAGGACCGAUCUUGCCUUUAACUUAAUUUGAUAUGCGUUCACGUUCUUUUGUAUUAACAGCAUUUUGUUGGUCGGAAUGGGCCGACAGCAAAUUAUCCAGAUCCUGUUCAGGCUGACGGUUCUGUAAGCACGCCAGCUAGAAAACCUAGAAAAAGGCGGGUUUCCAACAUAGAAGGGCCUCACAGUAAAAAAAGGAUUCCCUUAAGUGAUAACACUGAAAAAGAAAAUUGUUCAAAUGCAGAACAGAAUGAAAAUAUUGAAGAGGAGUCAUGCAAUACUUCAUCUUUUGGCACUCGGACAGCUCAUACAUGGGUUUCACCUAUGGAUGUUCUCGCUCUAACAGCUGAACUUCAUCAGUUGCGGUCAAAAGUUGAAAGACAGGAAUCAACUAUACAUGAUUUAAAAGAAGAGAAAGCCACUGCAACAGUGUUUGGUGUUACAGAAGUGUUAAAAAACAAGAACAAAUCAAAAACUUGUUCAGAUAUUACACUGGUAUAACACAUGAACGUUUUCUGGGUUUGUUGAACUUUCUUGUUCCUCCCAUGUUUACUUUGAAUUAUGAGGCAGGUCGCUCGGAUAUUAAGGAUAUGUCAAAUGAAGACUGUCUGUUUCUAACAUUGUGCCGUCUCCGCCAUAAUUUUGGUCUUAAAGACUUAGCCAUGAGAUUUGGACUCAAAUUACAGUCAGCUGGCGUAGUGUUCAAUACAUGGAUUGAUCAUAUGUACUUUAAACUGGGUCAGUUGUCUAUAUGGCCUCACAGGGACACGAUUAUUGCCAACAUGCCAACAUGCCAACAGACUUCAAUAAAGACUUUCCCACUACAUUGGUGAUUAUUGACGGUACAGAGCUUAAAACACAAACGCCAUGUGCUCUCGGCCUACAGAGUCAGCUAUACAGCGACUACAAAUCAAGCACAACCCUGAAAGGGCUUAUUGGUUGUGACCCAAGUGGAUCAGUCAUAUUUGUGUCCGAAUUACAUUCUGGGUCAAUAUCAGACUAGGCCAUUACAGAAGACAGUGGUUUUUAUAAAUUGAUAAACACUUUGAAAUCCAAUGGCUUCAUGUUAGACGGUGAUGGUGUAAUGGCAGAUUAAGGGUUCACCAUUGAAAAUGAGCUUAAAAAUCUUGGACUGCGUCUCAAUAUUCCACCCUUUGCAAAGAGUGGUAGUCAAAUGUCAGCCUCAGAAAUUCAGGAAACACAAAAAAUUGCGAAACAUCGGGUUCACAUUGAACGAAUCAUAGCCAAAGUGAAAACAUUUAAGAUUGUCUCACACCAAGUACCAACUAGUCAUUUUCCAAAAAUUAACAAAAUCUGGUCUUUGUGUUGUUACCUUACUCUUUUCCAGGAUGUUUUUGUGAAAGAUAAAGAUAAUCAAUAGAUGUCUUGUUAGAUUUAUAUGUUUCAGGGUUCUUUGUUGAGUAUAUAUGGUUAGCAUUAUGAAAUGCCUGUAGAUACAGACUGCAAUUCAAAAUAGAACAUUUAAUUUGACAUGUAUGUACAUGUAUUUAAAAAAAAAAUUACCUGAUAUGACAGUAUUGAUCCAAUUUGAACAUCUCCAAAAAUUGUGCUAACUUUUGGAAUUUUAUUGCUGUCACUCGCGAGAUACUGUAGUGGCGUUCCAUUCAAAGAUGAUAAGUGUUUUAAGUCGUCUUUUGUGAUAUCUGGAAUCCUGGGGAAAAACAGUAAAGACUUGUGUAUUGUGUAUUGUUUAGCAAUUGAGAUAAAUUUAUUGAUUGUGAAAUUUAUA